rnacentral:rRNA from 1 species
GAUGAACGCUAGCGGCAGGCCUAAUACAUGCAAGUCGAACGGUGUCUUCGGACAUAGUGGCGCACGGGUGCGUAACACGUACGCAACCUACCUUACAUUGGGGGAUAGCCUUUCGAAAGGGAGAUUAAUACCGCAUAAGACAGUAGCUGGGCAUCCAGCAGCUGUUAAAGAUUUAUCGAUGUAAGAUGGGCAUGCGACCAAUUAAUUAGUUGGCGAGGUAAUGGCUCACCAAGACUAUGAUUGGUAGGGGAACUGAGAGGUCAAUCCCCCACACUGGCACUGAGAUACGGGCCAGACUCCUACGGGAGGCAGCAGUAGGGAAUAUUGGGCAAUGGACGCAAGUCUGACCCAGCCAUGCCGCGUGCAGGAUGAAGGCGUUAUGCGUCGUAAACUGCUUUUAUACAGGAAGAAACGACUCUUGCGAGAGGCAUUGACGGUACUGUAUGAAUAAGCACCGGCUAACUCCGUGC